GACGAACGCUGGCGGCGUGCUUAACACAUGCAAGUCGAACGGAAAGGCCCUGCUUUUGUGGGGUGCUCGAGUGGCGAACGGGUGAGUAUCACGUGAGUAACCUGCCCUUGACUUUGGGAUAACUUCAGGAAACUGGGGCUAAUACCGGAUAGGAGCUCCUGCUGCAUGGUGGGGGUGGGAAAGUUUCGGCGGUUUGGGAUGGACUCGCGGCUUAUCAGCUUGUUGGUGGGGUAGUGGCUUACCAAGGCUUUGACGGGUAGCCGGCCUGAGAGGGUGACCGGCCACAUUGGGACUGAGGUACGGCCCAGACUCCUACGGGAGGCAGCAGUGGGGAAUAUUGCACAAUGGGCGGAAGCCUGAUGGAGCAACGCCGCGUGCGGGAUGACGGCCUUCGGGUUGUAACCCGCUUUCGCCUGUGACGAAGCGUGAGUGACGGUAAUGGGUAAAGAAGCACCGGCUAACUACGUG
rnacentral:rRNA from 1 species